ensembl:lncRNA
AUGGGACAAAGAGCCCGUGCCCCAGUGCUGGGGGGUGCAGGGUGGGGACAGGGGACCCCAGACCCCAGAGCAGGGACAGCUGGGGGACAUCCCUACGGAAGCAAACCUAUGGAAAACUGGGGGCUUCAGCCCCGCCUCGGUGUGCGGGGAAGGGCCGCAGGGACUCGGUGGCUUGUCCCCAAUAAAGUUUUUGGCAGCGCAGCAUGGCCGGGGCUGCGUCGGUGCCACCGCUGGGGCUGUGUCGCUGUCACCACUGGGGUUGUGCCGGUGUCACCGUCACCACCAAGGCUGUGCUGGUGCCACCACUGGGGCUGUGCCAGUGUCACUGUCACCACCAGGGCCAUGUCUGUGCCACCACCGGGUCCGUGCCGUUAUGGCUGUUACCACCAGGGCCAUGCUGGUGUCACCACCGUGUCCGUGCCAGUGCCACUUCUGGGGCCAUGCCGGUGUCACUGCUGUGCUGGUGUUGCUGUCACUGCCAGGGCCAUGCCAGUGCCACCGCUGGGGCCGUGUUGGUGUUGCUGUCACCACCAGGGCCGUGCCAGUGUCACCACCGGGUCCAUGCCGGUGCCGGUGUCACCGCCAGGGUGGUGUCGCUGUCACCACUGGGGCUGUGCCAGUGUCACCAUGCCGGUGUCACUGUGCCAGUGUCAGUGUCACUGUCACCACUGGGGCUGUGCCGGUGUCACCGUGCCAGUGUCGGUGUUGCUGUCACCACUGGGGCUGUGCCAGUGUCACCAUGCCGGUGUCACCGUGCCAGUGUCACUGUGCCAGUGUCACUGUGCCAGUGUCGGUGUCACUGUCACCACUGGGGCUGUGCCGGUGUUGCUGCCGUGCUGGUGUCGCUGUCACCACCAGGGCCAUGUCUGUGUCAGUGUCAGGGCCGUGCUGGUGUCACCAUGCCGGUGUCAGUGUCGCUGUCACCAUCAGGGCCAUGCCGGUGUUACCGUGCCAAUGUUGGUGUCACUGUCACCGCCAGGGCUGUGCCAGUGUCACCGUGACGGUGUCGGUAUCAUCAUGCCGGUCCCUGUGUCGGUGUCCCCGCUGGGGCUGUGCCGGUGUCACCGUGCCGGUGUCACCGUGCCGGUGUCGGUGUCAUCAUGCCGGUCCCUGUGUCGGUGUCGCUGUCACCACCGGGGCCGUGCCGGUGUCACCGUGCCGGUGUCACCGUGCCGGUCCCUGUGUCACUGUUACCGCUGGGGCCGUGCCGGUGUCACCGUGCUGGUGUCGGUGUCGCUGUCACCGUGUCGGUGUAGCUGUCACCGUGCCGGUGUCAAUGUCACCGUGCCGGUGUCACCGUGCCGGUGUCGGUGUCACUGUCACCAUGUCGGUGUAGCUGUCACCGUGCCGGUGUCAAUGUCACUGUGCCGGUGUCACCGUGCCGGUGUCGGUGUCGCUGUCACCAUGCCGGUGUCAAUGUCACCGUGCCGGUGUCACCGUGCCGGUGUCACCGUGCCGGUGUCACCGUGCCGGUGUCGGUGCCGGUGUCACCGUGCCGGUGUCGGUGUCGCUGUCACCGUGCCGGUGUCGGUGUCAAUGUCACCGUGCCGGUGUCGCUGUCACCGUGCUGGUGUCAAUGUCACCGUGCCGGUGUCGCUGUCAAUGUCACCGUGUCGCUGUCGCUGUCACCGUGCCGGUGUCAAUGUCACCGUGCCGGUGUCGCUGUCACCGUGCCGGUGUCGCUGUCAAUGUCACUGUGCCGGUGUCGGUGUCGCUGUCACCGUGCCGGUGUCGCUGUCAAUGUCACGGUGUCGCUGUCGCUGUCACCGCCGGGCCGCUGUCGCCCUCUGCCGCCGCCCGGCCGCCACUGCAGGGGGACGCGGGGGGCUCGGGGUGUCCCGGGGGGAGAACCGGGACUGA